rnacentral:tRNA from 1 species
GCUGAUGUAGCUCAGGGGUAGAAGCUUCCUUGGUAAGGAAGAGGUCGAGGGUUCAAAUCCCUUCAUCAGCU